UUAAAUGAGAUCUCUCGCUCCAUCAAUGCGACUCUUGGAGAUGCCCCCUACAUAAUUUUGGUUUCUAUUCAUAAUGUUGAAUUUGAUUAUUCGAUCCAUUUUGAUAUUUAUUUGAGGCCAGAUUUUGAGCCAGAUUGGACUCCCUCUGGUUUGCUGUUUCAAUAGGAGAAUGUUGUAGGGCCUCCAGACAAUAAGAAGGAUCUUGCCCCUUAAAUCCUUCUUCAUUGAAUUAUACCACUAAUGAAGACAAGGAGGACAUGCCCUA
rnacentral:lncRNA from 1 species